ACAAACACACACAGGCCUGAGCUCCGGAUAUUUCUCCUGUUCUGGAGACAGUGAGAAGUGAAAGAGAAAUGGCUGCCCCUGCACCACUUACCGCGAAGGAGGCUCAAGGCUGGGGGGCCCCUCUGCCUUCCAGUGACCGCCCGUGUCACAUCCUGACCCGCUCAGCAGGAGAACACAGCAGGUCCCUCCGACCGCAGUCGGCCUCUCCAGCCUGCCAUGCCUCUGGCCAUGAGGCGACCCGCUGGAGUGAUGGAUUCCCGUCACUACCACCCACAGGGCGAGGGGGUGCAUUGGUCUGCUUGGGCCGCUGUAACAAAAUGCCACAGCCUGGAUGAGUGACUGACAUUGCUUCCCCACCGUUCUGGAGGCUGGAGGCCCGAGAUCGAGGUCCCUGACACUAUUUCAGUGAUGCCAGAGCCCAGGAGGAGUCGACCAAGCCCCAGCGUGGCCAUAAGCACCUUCGCAGGACCACGGAGUCGCUGCAGGUGUUCAGCCCUGUUGAGAGUGGGAGUCGGUGUCGAUGGUCACAGCUCAGUAACUCAUCGUCACCAGCGAGUACCACAGAGCAGACACAACUGCACUUCUCUGUAGAGCCUCCAGUCGAUACUGAGAGCCACUGGGGCGUCUGACACCCAAGGGUGCAGACAUUCACUCCAAGUCCAGAGACCGCGCCCUUUCUAAGGCCCUGUCUCACAGUCGCCCCGUGCUCAUUGUGCCGGAUGUUUCCACAGCCACAGAGACGGUGCGUGAAGGUGAGGUGCAGCCUAGUGCAUAUGACUGACAGAAACGUGAAGCCACAGUGGACGCCUGGAUGAGACACAGAUCACCUUCCAAAUCUGAGUGUGGCCUUGGGACCAACCAGGCAGCCAGGGAGAAGGCAGAGACCAGAGGGAACCCAGGUGCCCUCAAUCCCAGCCUCCUCUAUCCCAGCCUCCCAAUCCCAGCCUCCCCAAUCCCAGCCUCCUAAUCCCAGCCUCCUCCAUCCCAGGACCCCCACUCCCAGCCUCCCGAUCCCAGCUUCUCUGAUCCCAGCCUCCCCUAAAACCCAGACUCUAUGAAUCCCAGCCUCUGAGGUGGGAACUGUUAGUAACCCCACUCCAUGGACAAGAAAGCUGGGGCCUGGCGAGGCUAACAGACUAUCCUGAUGGUGUGAGGGAGGGAUCGGCCUCUGAGGGCUGCUUCCACCCAUCUCACCAGUGGCUGCAGGCUCCAGGCGCCACUUUCCUUGAGUCUAUGUUCUUUCCAAGCAUCCUGCAGCUCCAGAAGCUCUGGAGCCGCCAGCACUGAGAGAAGCGAUGGAGCUGCAUGCAGGGAAACUUUGUUGACAGCGGUGUCUGGAUGGACCAGCAGAGGGCACUCUCACCCACGGGGAAAAUCGUGCGCCCGGCCUCGUCCACCGCCAGAAGACGCCGCUACACAAUGGAGUCUCGCUCUGUCGACCAGGCUGGAGUGCAAUGGUGCGAUCUCGGCUCACUGCAAUCUCUGCCUCCCGGUGAGAGGUGAAGCCAGCUGGACUUCCUGGGUCUAGUGGGGACUUGGAGAACUUUUCUGUCUAGCUAAAGAUUUGUAAAUGCACCAAUCAGUGCUGUGUCUAGCUAAAGUUUGUAAACGUACCAAUCAGCACUCUGUAAAAAUGGGCCAAUCAGCACUCUGUAAAAUGGACCAAUCAGCACUCUGUAAAAUGGACCAGUCAGCAGGAUGUGGGCGGGGUCAAAUAAAGGAAUAAAAAGCUGGUAGCCGAGCCGGCAGUGGCAAAC
rnacentral:lncRNA from 1 species